UACGAAGGGGGCUAGCGUUGCUCGGAAUCACUGGGCGUAAAGCGCACGUAGGCGGCGUCUUAAGUCAGGGGUGAAAUCCUGGAGCUCAACUCCAGAACUGCCUUUGAUACUGAGAUGCUUGAGUCCGGGAGAGGUGAGUGGAAUUCCUAGUGUAGAGGUGAAAUUCGUAGAUAUUAGGAAGAACACCAGUGGCGAAGGCGGCUCACUGGCCCGGUACUGACGCUGAGGCGCGAAAGCGUGGGGAGCCAAACAGGG
rnacentral:rRNA from 1 species